rnacentral:rRNA from 1 species
UACGUAGGGUGCGAGCGUUAAUCGGAAUUACUGGGCGUAAAGGGUGCGCAGGCGGCGUCGCAAGUCAGGCGUGAAAUCCCCAGGCUUAACCUGGGAACUGCAUUCGAGACUGCAUUGCUAGAGUAUGGGAGAGGGAAGUGGAAUUUCCGGUGUAGCGGUGAAAUGCGUAGAUAUCGGAAGGAACAUCAGUGGCGAAAGCGACUUCCUGGACCAAUACUGACGCUCAUGUGCGAAAGCGUGGGGAGCAAACAGG